GUAAAGCAUGGAUGGGAACUGGUGCUUCUUUGAGGAAAAUGGAAAACCAGAAGGGCAUAAUCGCUAGAUUUGUCAUUGGGAGAAGUCCAAACCGUGGGGACAGUUUAGACAGGGCCAUUGACGAUGAAAAUGGACAAUAUAAUGAUUUCAUUAUACAUAAUGACCAUGUGGAGGCGCCUGAGGAGCUUUCAAAGAAGGCCAAGCUUUUUUUUGCUUAUGCUGUUGA
rnacentral:misc_RNA from 1 species